UUGACGGGACCGCACAGCGGUGGAUGAUGUGGUUUAAUUCGAUGCAACGACGAAAACCUUACCCACCUUUGACAUGUACGGAAUCCUUUAGAGAUAGAGGAGUGCUCGAAAGAGAGCCGUAACACAGGUGCUGCAUGGCUGUCGUCAGCUCGUGUCGUGAGAUGUUGGGUUAAGUCCCGCAACGAGCGCAACCCUUGUCAUUAGUUGCUACGAAAGGGCACUCUAAUGAGACUGCCGGUGACAAACCGGAGGAAGGUGGGGAUGACGUCAAGUCCUCAUGGCCCUUAUAGGUGGGGCUACACACGUCAUACAAUGGCUGGUACAAAGGGUUGCCAACCCGCGAGGGGGAGCCAAUCCCAUAAAGCCAGUCGUAGUCCGGAUCGCAGUCUGCAACUCGACUGCGUGAAGUCGGAAUCGCUAGUAAUCGUGGAUCAGAAUGUCACGGUGAAUACGUUCCCGGGUCUU
rnacentral:rRNA from 1 species